CCUCUCUCCCUCUCCCUCUCUCCCUCUUCUUCUCUCCCUCUUCCUCUCUCCCUCUCCCACUCUCACCCUCUUCUCUCUCUCUCUCUCUCUCUCUCUCUUUCUCUCUCCCUCUGUCCCUCUGUCUCUCUCUCCCUCUCCCUCCCUCCCUCGAUAUCCUGCUGUUGCUGUGCUGAGUGUGGACACUUCAAUGUUACGCUGGUAUAUUCUUGUAAUCUUUUUGUUUUUGGUGCCUUCUGGUCCUACACCUCUGAACGUUUUAUUUCUUUAAUAAUUGCAAAGUGUAAACAUGCAUAGAUUGUAUCUAUUCAGUUUAUAAUAUAGCCACUUCUGUUAAUUCUGCCGUAUGCUUGCAGGUACGUUGGGGGUUGCAUCAUAUUCUGAAUCAUGUGCUGUCUUAAGGUGACUGGGGAAUUCGAGCUGGGAUGUUUUGGUUCGUCCAUCGUCGUCGAUGAAGAUCUCAACACCAUUAGUCACUGAGACUGGAUGCGGCGUGUCCGAAGAUGACUGGUCAGGCCAGUUCGGGCACGGACUGUCCUGGCACACGUUGGGCAGACGUGUAGGCACUGCAGUUGUUGUGCUGGUGGCUCUGGACCUGCACAGCUCACGCUGACGUUGUGUUUCAGCAACGCGCCUUGCUUCAUAGGCUUGACAGCCCUUGUGGAUGAGGCCACACCCGGUAGGGCGGUUUUGUGCCAGCGUUUCCCAGGUGGCCGUGUCUCUGUCAAGUGACUUCCGAGAGGCCUUUACUGUGUAUUUGUAACGUUCCUUCUGCCCUCCAUGCGAAUGUCUUCCAGCAGAGAGUUCCCCAAAACAGGAGCUGCUGGGGUACGUUCUGGUCCGGCAUGCGGAUGACGUGACCUGCCCACCGGGUCUGUGCUCUCAUCGGCAGUGUGUGGACUGAUGGCAGACUUGCUCUAGAGAGAAUUCAGUGUCUGGUACUUUGUCUUGCCAUCUGAUGCCCAAUAUUCUGCGAAGACAAGUUGCACAGAAGAACAUUGUGGUUCACUGUCGGAGGUAGAGGGACAGGGAGUGUGAGAGAGCCAGGAGUUCAAACCGGACAAAGAAUGGAGCUGUUGUUACCUUUCCCUGCAGAUAUCUUUUUGUAAAUAUUGUCUGGUUACAUUUCACUAUUUUUGUUAAUAAUUGGAAUUUUGAUUUUUGACACAUCGAAUAGACACUAUUGCACAGAAGUCCUUUGGGUCAAAACCCAGGUACUUAACCCCCCUACUGUGGCCGUAUCCCACAAUGGGCCUUCCCACUGAUGCCCCGUUGCAUCUUUGAAGGGCAGGUGACAUUUUACAAAGUAGAGAUAGUUGGUGCCUGGGUGGGAUGUUUGACUCAACCCCAAAUCAGGAGCGCUGUUCCCUCGGAGCUGCCGCACAGUUACUGAAAUGCUCCUCUGGACACACACAAAAUGCUGGAGAACCUCAGCAGGCCAGGCAGCAUCUCUGGAAAAAUGUAAACGGUCGACGUUUUGGCCGAGACCCUUCAUCAGGACUGGGGAGAAAAGAUGAGACAUUAGAGCUAGAAGUUGGGGGGUACAAGGUGGUAGGUGAUGGGUGAAGCCGGAAGUGGGGGUGAGGGUUGAAGCAAAGAGCUGGGAAGUUGGUAGGGGAAAAAGAUAAAGGAGAAGGGGGAAUCUGGUAGGAUAGGGUGGAAGACCAUGGAAGAAAGGCAAUAGAGAUCAGCACCAGUAGGUGGUGAUGGGCAGGUGAGAGAAGGAAACAGGAAUGGGAAUGGUGAAGGGGGGUAAUUACCAGAGGUUCUGAGGGAAAAGAAUCAGAGAUGAUGUUUCAGUUUGGUGACCUGAUGUAGGAUUGUGGAUUGGAAGUGUAAACGAUUUCCCCUUCCAUUGAUGCUGCCUGGCCUGAUCUUUCUAGUCUUUCGGGUAUUUUCUGAUUUUAUUUCAGACAAGCAUCUGCAGGUUUUCAGAAUUUGCAUCGCAAACUUGUACCUAUUGUUGAGUCAUGAGGUUUAAGUGAACCCGGAAUUUCAUAGCAUUUUGGUGUAUAUGACAGUAAUGUAACUUCAUGUUUAAAAUUUUUACAUCUUAUACCUAUACUUCUGAUAUUUGCUGCAAUGUUUUAUCUCCAAUGCCUUAAAAAAAGUGAGUUUUGAGCCUCUCACAUUUCUACCUUUGGAGUCCGCACACUUUUCGCUUCUCACAAAUGCUUUCGUUUUGAUGAUAAAAUGUGACUUUACUAAUGUUUAUGUAUGAAGAAGUCACUUAAUUAACAUGACAAUUGUUUUCUUUAAUGACUUUGGAUGUCAUUUGCGUUGGUGCAAACAUAGGCAAUCAGGUUGAGAGAACUUAAACAGAACAUCAUUUACUGAAACUGAUAAUUCUGAAGAGAAGACUAUAUUACAGUUAAUGUAUCAGAAUCAUACCAGGUACCAAGGUCAGUCCUUGGGAGUAUAUUGCAUCUGUAUACUCUGCACUGUUUCUCUCUGAGCCCAUAUCAUCUAUUCCACUGAACUUUCAGACACAUAACACACAAAAUGCUGGAAGAGCUCAGCAGGCCAGGCAGCACUUACUUACUUGGGGGUUAUCCAUACAACAAGGGACCCUUUGCAAGGGACAAGCUAGACUCCUCCAUGCUUACAAUGGAACAGUAGAUAACUGUCCUGUAACAGAGGGAAGGUAAACCUGGAUAAAGAAAAAGAGGAAAAUAUUUCUUUACCGGGAUAAAUUAGUCCUGAAAAGAAUGCAAUUUAUUUAAAGGAAUAUUCCAAUUUGUUUCUCAAAAAUUGAAGCUGGGCAGUGCCAUGUUGAUAUUUAUGUUGUCCAUAUAUAAACUGGUGUUCAUUAAUUGUUUUGUCUACAAGAUCCCACUGUGUCUUUCUAUGUUCAUGAUUUAUUCAUUAUUUAUUCACUAGGAGUUGGACUUUCAAACAAAUAGACUUUGGAUAGAUAAGAUAAAUAACUGCUCCUCCCCUCCAUCACCCUCAACACGGGUGCCCCCCAGGGCUGUACACUCUGCCUGUGAAAACACAGCAGUAAUUACACUGUCAAGUGUGCUGACGCCAUGACGGUGGUGAGGCUCAUCGCCAACAAUGAUAAUAUGGCCAAGAGAGGCGGGGUGGAAGAAGCUAAGGCCAGGCGAAUAACCUCUUCCUCAAUGUCCACAAGAGGAAGGAGAUAGUUAUGUGGAAAGCUAGAAGUGCAACAUGGGUUCUCACAGGGAAAUUAAGGGCACAGCUCAUAUUUUAUAAUUCUGCCAGUGGAGGGUCGCCAAUCAUUGCAUGACCUGCUAUCAUUUUCCGUAUAAGAGAUAUCUUUUCUUUGACAGUUGAUCGGUAGUUAAUUUGCAAAUUAACAACAUGGAUAUUGUUCAUGGAUGCCUUUUCUUUUUCACCAAAAAUUCUGCAAGCUAUAUUUUCUUAAGACAAUCUUUGAAAAUACAUUUUGUGAUUCUCUUCAAUGCUUUAAGAAAACAAAUUUCAAUUGUGAUGUUUACACAGACAUGGAAGAAACAAAUACACAUUGUAUUUCAGAAAUAUGUCAUUGGUGAAGAAGAGAUGCAUUUAAAUGAUUUGCCUUCCCCUUAGAUGAGGUGGUGACUCUUUCAGUGCACGGAUCCUACUAUGAGAAAAUUGUCACUCUCGGUGGUGUGUUUACGAAUUUCAAAAGACUGAAGUCAUUAGACUUGUCAAGAAAUGCAAUUUUCAGUCCAGAGGGUUUGAAGUAUUUACAGGAACUGGAAAAAUUAAGCCUGUAUUUUAAUAACGUUCAGACGUUGAAAGAAAUUUCCAGCUUUCGCCAUCUGAUCCAUUUAACUGAGCUAGAUUUACGGCUAAAUCCAGCUACAACGACUGAGGAGAAUUAUAGACAGUGUGUAAUUCGCUUCUUACCAAGUUUGAUGAAAUUAGAUCUCAGGCAUGUCUGUGCAACUGAGAGAAAUCCUGACAAAUUAGACUUCAUUUCACAAGAACAAUGUGAGACAUCAAAGUCAUAAGAUGAAGAGGUCAUCAGUUAUGACACAGAUGAGCAGAAUUACGUGAAUCAAGCACAGAUGUGUAAGUGGGAUGGAGCAUCUAAUAAUCAAAAUGUCAGCAGAUGAAGAAGGUCUUCAGUUAUGACACAGAUGAGCAGAAUUACGUGAAUCGAGCACAGAUGUGCAAGUGGGAUGGAGCAUCUAAUAAUCAAAAUGGAAUGAGGUAUAUGAUUCUGUGGACUGCUGCCAGGGAUGGUGAUUUUGCUGUAUUGUGAGGGGAUCCAGGAGUGCCCCUAUUAACAGCUUGAAGAGAGACAGAGAGAGUCAUUUGUCAUCGAUGGUUUGUUUUGAAAAGAGAGAGAGAUGAAGAUUGACGGUUGGACUGUCACGUCAGGGCACAGGAGGUGUGAAAGCAGAUACCACAUACAGGUGCUGUAGGAGUCUCACUGAGGAUGACAGUAGCAGCAUUCACCGAUCAAGAAUGCUUUCUGCCAGCCAAGUGCCACAUUAUGGAACAUCAUCUGCUCACUGCCUCGUUGAUCGACAACAAUUGUUACACCCAGCAGCUCUCUAACAUCUCUUCGUACAACUUGUUCAAAGAGAAGCUUUACUGACAGAAAGGAAACUGAACAUUUGAGAAGUGAACAACAUCAGAUUCAUUCCCGUGAAGACAACUCUGCAUAAAUUGCCUGAAGUAGAUCAAAGUGGUGAUUAUAAUCCUCGAAUUCCAUUGGGGCUCAGAUCUGGCAGCUCUGCAAACGUUUCCCCACACUUGCAGAAUUUACUUGAUCUGGUGGACCGACACUGGAGUGGUUCAAAUUCACUCCACACAAACCAGAGGUUCCUUAACUCUGCUGAAGAACUGCUCUUCAAUGCGCUGGACACAAUGGCCAUUUUAAAAAUUCAAAGCCUGGAACCAAAGGUUAAAGUGUUAACAGAAGAGAACAGAUCUCUGCUGACCAGAACAGCCUCUGGCCUAGACACUGCAGAUUUCCCAUGCAUUAAACAUCAAUUAUCUCAGAAAGAGGAUGAUUUGGAAUCUUUAAAUGGGAAGUUUGAAAAACUGAUCGAGGAAAACAACAAGCUACAUUCUCAGUUAAAGAGUUCAGAACUUGUGAAUUGUGCUCGACUUCAACAACGCAACAGUCAAUGUUGCUUGACAGAGAUUUAACCUAAAUAUCAACCAAAAUGAUCAAUGAUUCCUGUAAAACGAUGAAACAGUUUCUGUUUGGCUACUCUCUCAGAGGAACUGCACAGAGAAAAUGACAGACUCAAUUUGGAAGCAGAAUAUUUGCAUCAGCAAUAUGAAGACUACAUUAAAUUACAGGACACUGUCUCGAUGUUACAAGAGAGUCAUAGGUAAUAAAAACAUAGAAAACAAUUGAGGUAUUUCAGAAAAAGCAUCUAUUUGAAAAUAAGGAGAGAUAUGUUAAUAUCUAAUAUUUUAUUCAGAAUCUAGGGUGUCAAAAGUAGUAAGCAAUGUGAUGAAAUUUCAAUAUAUAUUACUUUAUUUGUUUCUUAACCUCUUUGCUCCUUAAAAUACUGUACAUAAAGAGUAUUCAAAUUGCUGCAUUUCAUAAUUUCUGCUGACAUUUUUGUUAUCUGUCGUAUUGUGAAAAUAACUUUAAACUGUUCUUUCAUAAUUUAUCAGAAAUUUCUCUGAAACUGUAUAAUUUGCUCAUUAAAAAGCUGAAGUGGAAAUCAACCA